CGGAUAAACGCUGAAAGCAUCUAAGCGUGAAGCCGGCUCCAAGAUAAGAUAUCCCAUGGCGUAAGCCAGUAAGACCCCCGGAAGACUACCGGGUUGAUAGGCUGCGAGUGUAAGCAUGGUAACAUGUUCAGCGUGGCAGUACUAAUAGGUCGAGGGCUUGACCAAG
rnacentral:rRNA from 1 species